rnacentral:ncRNA from 1 species
GUAGCGGUCACCGUAAGGUCGCUGUCGUUUCGACAGGCAGUCUUCUGCGGCUUGCCUGGCAAGUCGCAACCGGCACCGCCGGCUUUGCUAACCCGCCGAUCAGAUGGAUCG